CAUAUAUAUAUGGAGAGAGCGAGAGAGAGAGAGAUCCAUCUUAUAUACAGAGAGAGAUAAAGUCCUACGUUGGAUUAGCUGUCUGCAGAAUGUGAGCCAUUACCUCAAUUUCCCUCUAUCUCCUCUAGUCCUGAGGUCCCAGGUGGUAAACAAUACCAACUUUUCUUUCUCAUGAUGGUUUCCAGAAGUGAACAAAGGACAUCCAGAACACACUGUCUUCUUUGGAAACAUGAUUCCAGAGUUACUAGAAGAUGAAAAAUUUUAAAGAAAGAAUGAGAAUAUUCACAUUGGGGCAGAGAAAAGAAGAUAUGCCAGGAAGAAGGAAAAGCAUGUGAAAAGCUCGAAAUUGAAAAGGCAGCUGAAAUAACCAAAGAGAGAUAUUUUGAAACAGUUCAUUAUCUAAUUGGCCCUACCUUAUUGCCUGGAUAAGAAGGACUAAGAGAAUAACAGAAUGUGGCCCAAGAAAGACUCAUUGACCCAGUAUUACGUUGUUCUGUUACCUUGAUGACACCAUGGACGUUCUACAGGCUCAAGGAAAAUACCACCAGGCAGAAACUUUGAUCUUCAGAAAGGAAUAAGUGUACCAAAA